rnacentral:rRNA from 1 species
UUUGGUUAAGUUAGAAAGGGCGCACGGUGGAUGCCUUGACACUAGGAGUCGAUGAAGGACGGGACUAACGCCGAUAUGCUUCGGGGAGCUGUAAGUAAGCUUUGAUCCGAAGAUUUCCGAAUGGGGAAACCCACCAUACGUAAUGGUAUGGUAUCCUUAUCUGAAUACAUAGGGUAAGGAAGACAGACCCAGGGAACUGAAACAUCUAAGUACCUGGAGGAAGAGAAAGCAAAUGCGAUUUCCUGAGUAGCGGCGAGCGAAACGGAACAUAGCCCAAACCAAGAGGCUUGCCUCUUGGGGUUGUAGGACAUUCUAUACGGAGUUACAAAGGAACGAGGUAGACGAAGCGACCUGGAAAGGUCCGUCGUAGAGGGUAACAACCCCGUAGUCGAAACUUCGUUCUCUCUUGAAUGUAUCCUGAGUACGGCGGAACACGUGAAAUUCCGUCGGAAUCUGGGAGGACCAUCUCCCAAGGCUAAAUACUCCCUAGUGAUCGAUAGUGAACCAGUACCGUGAGGGAAAGGUGAAAAGCACCCCGGAAGGGGAGUGAAAGAGAUCCUGAAACCGUGUGCCUACAAAUAGUCAGAGCCCGUUAACGGGUGAUGGCGUGCCUUUUGUAGAAUGAACCGGCGAGUUACGAUCCCGUGCGAGGUUAAGCUGAAGAGGCGGAGCCGCAGCGAAAGCGAGUCUGAAUAGGGCGUUUAGUACGUGGUCGUAGACCCGAAACCAGGUGAUCUACCCAUGUCCAGGGUGAAGUUCAGGUAACACUGAAUGGAGGCCCGAACCCACGCACGUUGAAAAGUGCGGGGAUGAGGUGUGGGUAGCGGAGAAAUUCCAAUCGAACCUGGAGAUAGCUGGUUCUCCCCGAAAUAGCUUUAGGGCUAGCCUUAAGUGUAAGAGUCUUGGAGGUAGAGCACUGAUUGGACUAGGGGUCCUCAUCGGAUUACCGAAUUCAGUCAAACUCCGAAUGCCAAUGACUUAUCCUUAGGAGUCAGACUGCGAGUGAUAAGAUCCGUAGUCAAAAGGGAAACAGCCCAGACCGCCAGCUAAGGUCCCAAAGUGUGUAUUAAGUGGAAAAGGAUGUGGAGUUGCUUAGACAACUAGGAUGUUGGCUUAGAAGCAGCCACCAUUUAAAGAGUGCGUAAUAGCUCACUAGUCGAGUGACUCUGCGCCGAAAAUGUACCGGGGCUAAAUACACCACCGAAGCUGCGGAUUGAUACCGAAUGGUAUCAGUGGUAGGGGAGCGUUCUAAGGACAGUGAAGUCAGACCGGAAGGACUGGUGGAGUGCUUAGAAGUGAGAAUGCCGGUAUGAGUAGCGAAAGACGGGUGAGAAUCCCGUCCACCGAAUGCCUAAGGUUUCCUGAGGAAGGCUCGUCCGCUCAGGGUUAGUCAGGACCUAAGCCGAGGCCGACAGGCGUAGGCGAUGGACAACAGGUUGAUAUUCCUGUACCACCUCUUUAUCGUUUGAGCAAUGGAGGGACGCAGAAGGAUAGAAGAAGCGUGCGAUUGGUUGUGCACGUCCAAGCAGUUAGGCUGAUAAGUAGGCAAAUCCGCUUAUCGUAAAGGCUGAGCUGUGAUGGGGAAGCUCCUUAUGGAGCGAAGUCUUUGAUUCCCCGCUGCCAAGAAAAGCUUCUAGCGAGAUAAAAGGUGCCUGUACCGCAAACCGACACAGGUAGGCGAGGAGAGAAUCCUAAGGUGUGCGAGAGAACUCUGGUUAAGGAACUCGGCAAAAUGACCCCGUAACUUCGGGAGAAGGGGUGCUUUCUUAACGGAAAGCCGCAGUGAAUAGGCCCAAGCGACUGUUUAGCAAAAACACAGCUCUCUGCGAAGCCGUAAGGCGAAGUAUAGGGGUGACACCUGCCCGGUGCUGGAAGGUUAAGGAGAGGGGUUAGCGUAAGCGAAGCUCUGAACUGAAGCCCCAGUAAACGGCGGCCGUAACUAUAACGGUCCUAAGGUAGCGAAAUUCCUUGUCGGGUAAGUUCCGACCCGCACGAAAGGUGUAACGAUUUGGGCACUGUCUCAACCAGAGACUCGGUGAAAUUAUAGUACCUGUGAAGAUGCAGGUUACCCGCGACAGGACGGAAAGACCCCGUGGAGCUUUACUGUAGCCUGAUAUUGAAUUUUGGUACAGUUUGUACAGGAUAGGCGGGAGCCUUUGAAACCGGAGCGCUAGCUUCGGUGGAGGCGCUGGUGGGAUACCGCCCUGACUGUAUUGAAAUUCUAACCUACGGGUCUUAUCGACCCGGGAGACAGUGUCAGGUGGGCAGUUUGACUGGGGCGGUCGCCUCCUAAAGUGUAACGGAGGCGCCCAAAGGUUCCCUCAGAAUGGUUGGAAAUCAUUCGUAGAGUGCAAAGGCAUAAGGGAGCUUGACUGCGAGACCUACAAGUCGAGCAGGGACGAAAGUCGGGCUUAGUGAUCCGGUGGUUCCGCAUGGAAGGGCCAUCGCUCAACGGAUAAAAGCUACCCCGGGGAUAACAGGCUUAUCUCCCCCAAGAGUCCACAUCGACGGGGAGGUUUGGCACCUCGAUGUCGGCUCAUCGCAUCCUGGGGCUGUAGUCGGUCCCAAGGGUUGGGCUGUUCGCCCAUUAAAGCGGUACGCGAGCUGGGUUCAGAACGUCGUGAGACAGUUCGGUCCCUAUCCGUCGUGGGCGUAGGAAAUUUGAGAGGAGCUGUCCUUAGUACGAGAGGACCGGGAUGGACGCACCGCUGGUGUACCAGUUGUUCUGCCAAGGGCAUAGCUGGGUAGCUAUGUGCGGAAGGGAUAAGUGCUGAAAGCAUCUAAGCAUGAAGCCCCCCUCAAGAUGAGAUUUCCCAUAGCGUAAGCUAGUAAGAUCCCUGAAAGAUGAUCAGGUUGAUAGGUUCGAGGUGGAAGCAUGGUGACAUGUGGAGCUGACGAAUACUAAUAGAUCGAGGACUUAACCAUAUAA